UAAGGAAUAUUGGUCAAUGGGCGCAAGCCUGAACCAGCCAUGCCGCGUGCAGGAAGACGGCCCUAUGGGUUGUAAACUGCUUUUGUCAGGGAAUAAACCCCCGCUCGUGAGCGGGGCUGAAGGUACCUGAGGAAUAAGCAUCGGCUAACUCCGUGCCAGCAGCCGCGGUAAUACGGAGGAUGCAAGCGUUAUCCGGAUUCAUUGGGCUCAAAGGGUGCGCAGGCGGAUUGGUAAGUCAGGGGUGAAAUCCCACAGCUCAACUGUGGAACUGCCUUUGAUACUGUCAGUCUAGAGUAUAGUUGAAGUGGGCGGAAUGUGUCAUGUAGCGGUGAAAUGCUUAGAUAUGACACAGAACACCGAUCGCGAAGGCAGCUCGCUAAGCUAUAACUGACGCUCAUGCACGAAAGCGUGGGGAUCAAACAG
rnacentral:rRNA from 1 species